GACGAACGCUGGCGGCGUGCCUAAUACAUGCAAGUAGAACGCUGAAGGAGGAGCUUGCUUCUCUGGAUGAGUUGCGAACGGGUGAGUAACGCGUAGGUAACCUGCCUGGUAGCGGGGGAUAACUAUUGGAAACGAUAGCUAAUACCGCAUAAUAGUAGAUGUUGCAUGACAUUUGCUUAAAAGGUGCAAUUGCAUCACUACCAGAUGGACCUGCGUUGUAUUAGCUAGUUGGUGGGGUAACGGCUCACCAAGGCGACGAUACAUAGCCGACCUGAGAGGGGGAUCGGCCACACUGGGACUGAGACACGGCCCAGACUCCUACGGGAGGCAGCAGUAGGGAAUCUUCGGCAAGGGACGGAAGUCUGACCGAGCAACGCCGCGUGAGUGAAGAAGGUUUUCGGAUCGUAAAGCUCUGUUGUAAGAGAAGAACGAGUGUGAGAGUGGAAAGUUCACACUGUGACGGUAGCUUACCAGAAAGGGACGGCUAACUACGUG
rnacentral:rRNA from 1 species